rnacentral:ncRNA from 2 species
AGACCCCACGCGGGAGAGGCCCUUCGCAGCCGGCGGGGGGCGCCGAAGGAGCAACCAUCCGGGAAUCUCUCAGGCGAAAAGACCGCGUGGGCGAG